rnacentral:rRNA from 1 species
GCUCAACCGAGGAAGUGCUUUGAAAACUGGUAAACUUGAGUGCAGAAGAGGAAAGUGGAACUCCAUGUGUAGCGGUGGAAUGCGUAGAUAUAUGGAAGAACACCAGUGGCGAAGGCGGCUUUCUGGUCUGUAACUGACGCUGAGAUUCGAAAGCAUGGGUAGCAAACAGGAUUAGAUACCCUGGUAGUCCAUGCCGUAAACGAUGAGUGAUAAGUGUUGGAGGGUUUCCGUCCUUCAGUGCUGCAGCUAACGCAUUAAGCACUCCGCCUGGGGAGUACGAUCGCAAGAUUGAAACUCAAAGGAAUUGACGGGGGCCCGCACAAGCGGUGGAGCAUGUGGUUUAAUUCGAAGCAACGCGAAGAACCUUACCAGGCCUUGACAUACCAUGAAAAGCUAAGAGAUUAGUCUUUCCCUUCGGGGACAUGGAUACAGGUGGUGCAUGGUUGUCGUCAGCUCGUGUCGUGAGAUGUUGGGUUAAGUCCCGCAACGAGCGCAACCCUUAUUAUCAGUUGCCAGCAUUCAGUUGGGCACUCUGGUGAGACUGCCGGUGACAAACCGGAGGAAGGUGGGGACGACGUCAAAUCAUCAUGCCCCUUAUGACCUGGGCUACACACGUGCUACAAUGGUCGGUACAACG